UAGUAAAAUGGAGAAAGCAAAUAUUAACUCAAUUUAUGAGAGAGACAUUAGCCCAUUUUGAUUCUUUUUUUUUUUUUUUUUUUUUGUUGCAUUGACCACAACUUUGGAUUCUAUGCUGGUAGAGUAUUUUUGUUCUUGAAAACAUUUAAAACUGUUGAAACUUGUGUCACUGUUUUUUUAGACAAAACUUUUAGUAGUGGUAAAUUACUAUAUUAAUGUAUUCCAAAUUGGUAGGUCUCCUGUCCAACAGUUUGUCGCAACUUACAUGGCACAAAGCUUAGGUAUAUUAAUCUAUGGAAGAAAUUCUAAAGAAUGGAAGUAUCUACUUAUAGCAAGUCUAAUUGAUUUACAGAGAUGUCUCAUGUCUCCAAAGACCAAGAGUCCAAGAUGGACUACAAUGAUGAUUAUAUCCUUUUCAGUUUUUUCACAUCCCUGGCUUGCAGCAUGCACGACAAAGAAAAUCAUAUAUGUCCUUCUGGUUCUACACUCGAGCCUCCUCCUCUGUUUGCUUUGAGAUUUGAGCUGGUCUUUUCACAUACCAUGUCUUCUUUAUCAUAUCCACAGCAACAGCAGCAAGAAUCUUUCUUUCUUGGCUAAGAAAGAAACAGAAGCUAUCCAGUCCUGUUCCUGUUGUCUUGUCAUCAUAUAUAUUAAGUCUCUGCGUCCUUAAUCAAUCUAAUUCUUAUUUAGGCAAUAUCUUAGAAAAACUAUGGAGAUGGCUAUGAAACCAACACAAAACCCAGAUCGGAAGAUUACAUUUUUCAAGGUUUUGAUGGGUGACUACAUGGAGAAAAUUAUGAUACCUCCAGCUUUUGUAAUGAAGUACGAGAAAAUAAUGCCUGAGACAAUAAAACUGAAGUCUUAUAACGUGGGUAAAUCUUCUAUGGUCUCAGUAAAAAGCAACGACGAUGGCUUCUUCAUUAAGCAUGGAUGGAAAAAAUUUGUGAAAGAUCAUAACUUGGAAGUUGGUGACUUCUUGGUUUUUAAUCUCGUUAAUGAUACAACUUUUGAAGUUUUGAUUUAUGGCCCAACUUGCUGCUUGAAGAAAAUCAAGCUAGCUGAUGACGAUGAUCAUGUGGAUCAAAAUAAGAAUAGUACUUCAAAAUUCACUUCUACUGCUUCAGGUAGCAAACAAAUCUCUUUCAAGAAAAGGGCUUGUCCUAAAUUAAGUCAAUUCAAGAGACCUCGUGGUUCAGCUAAAAAAACUGGUAAAAAGGCCAAGAGACCAAGGAUUUUCAAGGGGAAAACUGAAGUGAACAAGAAAGAAAGCAUAGCUGAAGAAGAAACAAAGCAUCCUUGUGUUAAACUUGUUUUGAAAGAGUAUCAAAAGUACAAUGUGGUGGUACCCAGAAGGUUCGCUGACAAGAUUGGGCUUCAAAACAAGAGGAAAACUGUGAUCGAAGAUCCGUUAGGAAGGCAGUGGCCAGUUUUUGUAAAUUUAGUAGGUGGUAACCAGGUUCACUUAAGCACUGGUUGGUCUGCAUUUUAUCAAGCUAAUAGACUAGUUACAGGGGAUAUAUUAUCCUUGCACUCCAGGCAAGUACAUGGUAAUCUCAUAAAUGUUGAGAUUCAAAAAGGAGGAGGUGAAAUUGCAAAAGCUGAACCAGCUUUGUUGCCAAAGACAGGUUGAAUCUGAAUGCAUAGACAUUUAGGUCUACUAAGUACAAGAAAUGAAGGGAAAGCACAAGCAAAUGACAUGCAAAAAGAAUGCUUGUUAGAAAGCUACAAGGAGUACAUCACGGAGGACUAAUUCUUACAAAAAGUUCAUUACAAAGUAUCCAUCCUUCAGAGCCUAAAGUAUUUUGAGGCUGCCACAAUGACGAUGACACUUCAGGUUGCUGAUAGCUCGUGGCCUGUGAAGUUGAUAAGUUAUUCAAGUAUGACCAAGUUUUCUGGUGGUUGGCUUGCAUUUUAAAGGGAUAAAUCACUAGAAGCAGGAGAUGUUUGCAUCUUUGCAUUAAAUAAGAAUGUUUUGCUGAAUGCAUCCAUUUUCAGAUUAUUUCAGUAAAUGUUUGAGAGGGAACCAAACCUUGCGAACACAAUGUUUUUGGUGGUCUUUUAAAUGGAUCAG